rnacentral:rRNA from 1 species
AAUGAAAGUAUUAACGGGUAUUUCCUGGAACGAGAUGUCUGGGUAAACUGCUGAAGCAUUUUCAUGCUUGGGAUUGUGAACGGGAAGUGUUCACAUGAAC